UACGUAGGCAGCAAGCGUUGUUCGGAAUUACUGGGCGUAAAGCGAGUGUAGGCGGUUUGCCAAGUCCGUUGUGAAAUCUCCCGGCUCAACUGGGAGGGUGCGCCGGAAACUGGCAGGCUAGAGUGCGGUAUGGGAGAGUGGAAUUCCUGGUGUAGCGGUGAAAUGCGUAGAUAUCAGGAGGAACACCGGUGGUGAAGACGGCUCUCUGGACCGUUACUGACGCUGAGACUCGAAAGCGUGGGGAGCAAACAGG
rnacentral:rRNA from 1 species